AAGGAUCCAUCUAUAUAUACCAAGGCUGGGCUCUUGCUCAGUCUUUCGUCCGGGCCAUCCAAUCUUACAGGAGACAAAAGAUUAUUGUGAGGACUUCCAAAAAAACAAGAACUUAACUAAAGGCGAUAAAAUGCACCGCCACUCAGAGUCUGCUCAGCCCAUGACUGAGUGUCUAAGGAGAUUAUACUGCACCACUUGCAGGGACAUAAAGAUGAAGAAUGAUUGCGGCAGAGGUUGACGGUCUCCUCAGAGCGCUGAGAUGAACAGCUUUUUCUCUUGAUCCAGACCUGGGUUCUUCUUUGGUCAGGUGUUAAGUCUGUGGCCAUGUGCUUAUGGUGCUUAUGGUGGUGACUAGAUGGGAUCUCCUUUAGCUCAUCAAACACUGAAAAGAGAUGAAGUCCCAGUUGUGCAGCUGUAUAACUGAGGCAACUCCAGCUAGACGACCCCGGCACAAACACUGGACCAGGUGUUGAGCUGCUGGUCAACAUCAGGUCAUCUGGGAAAUGGAGCAGUCUUGACUGCUGAAAGAUGCACGCCAUUACAGCAUCUAACAAGCCUGUCAGUGGGAGAUGUCCUGUAUUACGUACACGUGGCUUAUACUCAGCUGUAAUGGUGAUAACUUGACAUUCAGAUGACGUUUAAAAUAAAAUUAUUGACAAGA